AAAAUGCCCUGGGCCAAAACUCUCUGUGGGAAACAAGCUUCUAGAAUCACUAGGUAUUAUGGAUUUACAUCUCUGUCUUAUAAUAGUUUUAGAUGGACUUUUGUCAGGAAAAGGAGGUUCUGACCAUUAUGGAAUAUUCUUCUACAACUGAGAAAGUGAAGCUGCUGAAUGCAGUCUUUCCCUUAUUGGCACAACAUCAAUCUAAAGUCGAGAUGAAGCCACAGAUGUGGGAUGCAGGAUAUUGA
ensembl:lncRNA